UUCCCUCUCUCCAAUUUAUCCUCUCUUUUCCCUCCUCAGGUUACCUCCCUGGCCCCAGAUGGCCAUGUCAGCGGCCUAAGUGGCCAUCUGCAGGAGAAGAGGAAGCAGACCCUGGGGCACGAGGCCUGGGAGAUGAAGCUGGGGACUAGUUCCCCUUUUGCUCUGGGCAGCCCUGAAGGCGAUCAAGCAUCCCUACCGGAACGUCGGGCUACUGCUGGAGCGACGGUUCUGCAGGGAGCCGGCCGUCAUCCCCACGCUGCCCUCGGGAGAGCCCAUCUUCUCACCGCGGCACCACCCGCUGCCCUGCUCCCCGGACUGCUCCAGCUUGCAGCCCCACAGCCAUCUGGAGAGGCUCUUUUUCAGCCCCGUCCCUGCCAGACUCCGGGCCGGGGCCCUCCGGCGCCCCCAGCACAGGAGAGCAGGAGGGGAUGGGUUCCACUUUGCUGGCCUGUUAGGCAGAGUUCAUUCAACCGGUGAGAGAAGCUGCUUCCCUGGCUGGGAACUGAGCGUGGAGAUGCCUGCUGCAUUAUUUACCGGGCUUCCUACAGAGCUUCCUGAUCGCACAUGGGCCCGGCAGCAGCUCCU
rnacentral:lncRNA from 1 species